CAAGUCAUCCAGGUACACGACACAACGCCUCCGGGGGACGCCCGCCAGCACCCUCUCCAUCAUCCGCUCGAACCUCGCCGGUGCGUUGCAUAACCUGAACGCCAUGACCCGAAACUGCCACAACCCCUGCCCGAUGGUGAACGCAGUCCAACCGCUCCCCGGCGUCUAGUAAGCAGCUCCCGGCUGUGGCUGCCGACGGCAUGCUGCCUGAAACGCCUCCAAGGCCCGGGUCCUGUUGGUCCACUGGGGCAAGGUCCAGAAGAACCAGCACUGCCGUUCCCUCCAACGCUAGGGCAAGCUGGGCAGCGGACUCGUCCACGCUCCAGCCGUAGUGUCGUGCGGCGAUCCUGAACUGCGCCAAGCACCAAUAAGGGUUAACAGGUGCCCAAAGCAUAUCACCCAGUGGACUCUGUGGAGGAUGCACUGGAGACCAGAACCUCCAGGUUCUUUACUUGCCUCUAUGGCACCAACACUGUGGGCAGAGCUGCUGCAAGAAAAGCUGGGCGAUUGAACUGCACGACACGAAAAAUGACUGGAUAACUUUUUGGAAUACACUCCCUCUUAUGCCACCAAC
ensembl:lncRNA